rnacentral:misc_RNA from 1 species
GAUGAGAACGUAGCGAAAUGCGAUAAGUAAUGUGAAUUGCAGAAUUCAGUGAAUCAUCGAAUCUUUGAACGCACAUUGCGCCCGCCAGUAUUCUGGCGGGCAUGCCUGUCUGAGCGUCAUUUCAACCCUCAUGCCCCUAGGGCGUGGUGUUGGGGAUCGGCCAAAGCCCGCGAGGGACGGCCGGCCCCUAAAUCUAGUGGCGGACCCGUCGUGGCCUCCUCUGCGAAGUAGUGAUAUUCCGCAUCGGAGAGCGACGAGCCCCUGCCGUUAAACCCCCAACUUUCCAAGGUUGACCUCAGAUCAGGUAGGAAUACCCGCUGAACUUAAGCAUAUCAAUAAGCGGAGGA